UACAGAGACUGCAAGCGUUGUUCGGAUUCAUUGGGCGUAAAGGGCGCGUAGGCGGUCCGGUAAGUCGGGUGUGAAAUCUCAUAGCCUAACUAUGAGCGGUCAUUCGAAACUGCCGGGCUCGAGGAAUGGAGAGGAGACUGGAAUGGUCGGUGUAGCGGUGAAAUGCGUAGAGAUCGACCAGAACACCGGUGGCGAAGGCGGGUCUCUGGACAUUUCCUGACGCUGAGGCGCGAAAGCCAGGGGAGCAAACGGG
rnacentral:rRNA from 1 species